rnacentral:rRNA from 1 species
AUGAAGUCGGAAUUGCUAGUAAUGGCAGGUCAGCAUACUGCCGUGAAUACGUUCCCGGGCCUUGUACACACCGCCCGUCACACCAUGAGAGUUGAGAAUACCCGAAGCCCAUGUCAAAGUGGUCGAAGGUAGGCUUGAUGAUUGGGGUGAAGUCGUAACAAGGUACC